rnacentral:tRNA from 1 species
GCAGGGAUAGCUCAGUUGGUAGAGCGUCAUUUCUAGUGGAUGGGUGCCGCGUGUUCGAUUCAUGCUCUCUCUG